GACGUAGGAGGCGAGCGUUAUCCGGAUUCACUGGGCGUAAAGCGCAUGUAGGCGGAUGUCUAAGUCGUGUGUUAAAGCCCCUGGCUCAACUGGGGGGAGGUCAUGCGAGACUGGAUGACUUGAGGGCAACAGAGGCACGUGGAACUCCCGGUGUAGCGGUGGAAUGCGUAGAGAUCGGGAAGAACACCCGUGGCGAAGCGGCGUGCUGGGUUGCAACUGACGCUGAGAUGCGAAAGUGUGGGGAGCAAACGGG
rnacentral:rRNA from 1 species